GCACUUGUUUUCUAGGGUUCCGCAGCGUUGGCUGGCCUGGUUCGAGAGAAAACACACAGCCGCAUUGGCUGUGACACGGAGGGAUAAAAGCCCGGGAGAU
rnacentral:sRNA from 2 species